CUGGGAACAACGUUCUUGGAACAUCUUAUUUGUACUUGAUGAACGUUGGCAUAAUGUUGAUAGAAAACGUUAUUAGAACAACAUUCUCAGAACGUCCUUAUAACGUUAUUAGUAUUUUCUGAAUGUUAUCAUAAUGUUAUCAUAAAACAUUUUGGGAAACCACGUUCUUGGAACAUCCUUAGGACGUUAUUUGUACUUGAUGAACGUUCGCAUAAUAUUGAUAGGAAACGUUAUUAGAACAACAUUCUCAGAACGUCCUUAUAACGUUAUUAGUAUUUUCUGAAUGUUAUCAUAAUGUUAUCAUAAAACGUUUUGGGAACAACGUUCUUGGAACAUCCUUAGGACGUUAUUUGUACUUGAUGAACGUUCGCAUAAUGUUGAUAGAAAACGUUAUUAGAACAACAUUCUCAUAACGUCCUUAUAACGUUAUUAGUAUUUUCUGAAUGUUAUCAUAAUGUUAUUAUAAAACGUUCUGGGAACAACGUUCUUGGAACAUCUUUAGGAUGUUAUUUGUACUUGAUGAACGUUCGCAUAAUGUUGAUAGAAAACGUUCUUAGAACACCAUUCUCAGAACGUCCUUAUAAUGUUAUUAGUAUGUUCUGAAUGUUUUCAUAAUGUUAUCAUAAAACGUUUUGUGAACAAUGUUCUUGGAACAUCCUUAGGACGUUAUUUAUACUUGAUGAACGUUCGCAUAAUGUUGAUAGAAAACGUUCUUAGAACAAUAUACUCAGAACAUCCAUAUAAUGUAAGUAUUUAUGUUCUCAUAAUAUAUCACGCACGGACAUUUCAGGACUCGCAUUUUGAGCUGAAUCAGACUCUCAAUUCCUGACGCCAGUGAAUCGAAUCUUUUUGGAAUCGUUUACUGUCUUGAUUCUCGAGUCUGUUCUUUCCCCUCCCCCACUGCCUCACUGCAGCUCUUCUCUUGCGCGCGCAGCAGCAGAGAGCGUCCGUUAUUUUCUGAGGCUGAGAAAACGUAAAUGCCUGACGUUCGAGCCGUUCGUUCCCGCUCCUGCUCCAUUCAAAUCUUGCGCGCGCUGACAGGGUCCGGUAUUUUCAUCAUAGAGAGAUUUACACAUAGGAUUUACAUCAUAAGAAGGCCGCUGCCUUUCAGUUAUUGCGCGGGCUGACAGCGUCCUGUAUUUUCAGAGAUGCUUCAAAUACAGCACUGAAGGAAGAGCUGCACCUGACUUGAUUCUUGCGAGGCAGACAAGGACAGAAAAAGGCCAGGUAGUAAAUGCUGCUAUUCUUCUCUAAUACUGUUGCUCUUCAAAGAACAUGGUCAUCAAUCAGGAUCCUCCACUCCCAGCUCCAACGAGUCAUCUGAAGGACUGCGGCGAUGGAAACCCUUUGAACCACAAGUGGCAGUUUCCACCGGAUGAGAAAGGACAUGAUGGAGCAUGAAGAGACUGGACCUGCUAGUUUGGCAAACCCAACCCCACCCCUCAGACACCCCACACACACACACACAUUCUUAAGGCCUUUGCACACUGAGUCCGAAAUUUCCGCAUGCGUUUUUUCGUAUUCGCAAUCCUAAAACUUCGUCACGCACAGAGACCUUGCACACUGAGUCCGAU